rnacentral:rRNA from 1 species
CGGAUUGUAGUCUGCAACCCGACUACAUGAAGCUGGAAUCGCUAGUAAUCGCGGAUCAGAAUGCCGCGGUGAAUACGUUCCCGGGUCUUGUACACACCGCCCGUCACACCAUGGGAGUCGGAAAUGCCCGAAGUCUGUGACCCAACCUACGGGAGGGAGCAGCCGAAGGCAGGUCGGAUGACUGGGGUGAAGUCGUAACAAGGUAAC